rnacentral:lncRNA from 1 species
UGUGCUUCUCUGAAAGUAUGCUCUUGGGAGAUUUAGCUAUUGUUGUUUUGCUUGGUAAACAAAUGACAUGCUAAAAUGUUGGUUGUUAGAGCCUCCCUGUUCUUCUAAAAAAAUGUUUGGUUGUUAGUACAGAGGUGGUGACACUAUUUAGUCCUCUGGUAUUGAUUCAUGAUUUGUGCUUAAUACAUGAUGUUGGUAUCUGAUCACUUUAUUGCUCAUGCCUCACUUGAUGUUGCAUGGUGUACAGGCAAAGUGCCAAUGGAGUGGCAUAUAUCGUACUUCGCUACUACCUACAUGCGAUUCCAUUUGAUUUCACUUUGAUUUUUGUUUUUCUGCUGAUCGUUUCUAGGUGGUUGUUGAUGAAUCAUGUAAGGAUGGUGCAGAACUCACAAGAGGGAAAAGACCGAACUGCGGUAACCAAAUCAAAUAGCUGAUAAGGUACAAAUUUCUGAAGAUAUAUGGUUUUCCCUAAACAAGCAUAUACAUCAUAGUACAAAGGGGAAUUACAUCUCUAUUUUAUGUUAUGUUUUCUGCUUGCUAUCUUGUUCAUGGACUCUCUGUAAGUGCGCCUUUCUAUUAGCAACCUUAGUGCCAAUGACUCAACAGUCAGCUAUCAACCAGAAUAGUAGGGCAUUGAGCUUGUUUAAACUGUAGAGUACACAUGCAUAUACUAUUACUCAGACAUCAAGAAAACAUGAGAUAAACAUGUAUGACGAUCUACCAUGUUAUUACUCAGGUGUUGAUUAGGAAGUAGACAUAGGUUUAGCAGAGAAGAAGUUUCAGUGAUUUAUCAGUUCAGGCUAUGGAAGUAAACAUGAGGCAUUGAAGCUAAUUUGAAAUAGGCGUGAUGAACCAAACAUUUUUGUAAUUGCCAUUAGUGGGUCAACAGGGUAGGCAUUUUCAUGAGACAAUAUUGAUUUUAAUGAUGGCUAAUAAUUACACUGCUGCCUUUGUUUCAAAAGUAAAAUUUUGCUAUCUUUGACCUUGCCUCUAGGAAAAAAAUCAGCUCAAAACUGAAAUACUCCGGAUUUAGUAGAUAUCUUUUAGACGUAAUACUGUGUUGUUUGUGAAGGUUCACUUGGAAGUGGUUGAGGUAGCCUGACCUGGUGAGACCUGGUGACGCGAUGCAUACAUCGGAGGAAGUAGAUCUGUGAGUGCGGGAGUGGAUCUUGCAAUUGAAGUCGUGUCUCCGAUGCAGAGGAGCAGCGGCGAUGCGGUGGAAACUACAGGGUGAGUGAGAGAUUGGAGGAGGGGAUGGUCAUGAAGUAAGUGGAUUAACAUCGUCUGGUCAAGUAACUUGGGCCAGCCCAUUAUUGUGAAUCUGUCAUUUGUCUUCUUGUAAGCCCACAAC